AGAAAUGGAGGGGCCACAGAGAUCUGUGGCCCAAGCCUGCUGGCAUUUCACAGAUCGUGAUCUUCCUAAAUCGGGUGGGGUUUAAUUAUAGCCACAGAGGAGUUGUGCUCCAGAGCCGGGAACGAAAGAACAUUUCUCAGAAAGUUCCACUGCUUGGCUGAGGUUGGGGGCUGCCUGCAUGGAGAGAUAAGCCGCGCUGACAAGCCAAGCACAGCUCUGUGCCUUGGUUUUCUGCAGCUGAAAUCCUGGACUUGUAACAAACGCCAGGGAAAAGCCAUGCACCUUCUCUUAUUGCAAAAUCGCAUCAGCUUCCAGUUAACUGUCCGCAUCCUAUGCAGAUCACUUGAACAAACAGGUCUAUUGUUGAUUCAUGAACGAGCCCAUAAGGAGCAGAUCAUGUGUUACGUGCCAGCUUCUGUGUUAAUUUCUGGAGCUGUGAAAACAGACAGGGCAAUGGCCCCAUCUCUUAAGGAACUCUUCAAUCUUUCAGGGGAAACAGAGGGCUAAACAAUUUGGGCAAGGACGGAGCAGCGCUGCUUUGGUGGAGAAACCUGUUCCUGAGCCUCUUUUUUUCAGCACCGUGGAAGACUUUCACAACCUCCCCGUAAACAGACGACAGUUGUCCAUGUGGCAAAGCCCUUGCUGAAAUGGUGCUGAGAAUUACUGGGAAGCAUUUUGGAGUCGUUGUCAGGAGCGUGGGGGGCUUUGGAACCCAUCAGACCUGGAUCUGGAUUCUGGCUCUGCCAAGCCCCAAAUUGUGCACCUUGAGCAAGUUUCUGCGGGCAGAUGGUAAUGGUGCCUACUUCAUAAAGCAGUGUGUUAAAGCUUUCAUGGGCACAUGAAUCACCUGGGGACCUUGUUAAAAAUGCAGAUUCUGAUUCAGGAGGUCUGGGCUGGGGCCCAAAGUUCUGCAUUUUUAACAGGCACCCAGGUGACGUUAAUGCUGCCCGUCUGAGGACCACGCUUUGAGUGAAAGGGCACAGAAUCGUGAAAGAUCAAAGAAGCUCUGAGCACCGUGCUGACAAGUGGGAAAAAUGUGCACUGAUUAUAAGUGCAUAGAAAAUGGGAGCCUAAGCACGUGUGGCAGGGAUGAUAAGUUUCUGAAGAAGCUGUCCCCGAAAUUAAUCCUUCACAUGACUAAGAAUAACUAAGAUAUUCUCAGACUUUAGAAUUUCAAAAAUUUCCCCCGAAUUUUGGGGACAGAUCUAGGGGGAAACAAAAGACUUCUAAGAGCCUGAUAAUAGCCAAGACAAUCUUGAAGAGAAACAGGUCUGGAGCUCUUGGAUUAUUCGAUAUUAAGGUCAAUUAUGAAGGUAUAGUAACUAAGAUCGUGUGGUUUUGGCGCAAGGAGAGGCAAACUGAGGAACGGAACAGACCAGAGUUCAGAAAUGCACCCACACGCGUUCGGUCACCUGACUUAUAAAAAACGUGCUAACCCAGAGACUAUGAAGAAAACAGAAGAGGAGUAAGAGGUGUGAGGAGAACAAGGAUGAGGAUUUCAGAACCAAGGGGACCAAAGAAGUUCAGGGGGCCAGCGGAGAUCAGCAGCGUCAAGGGCAGCCGGAGUCUGUUAAACCGAAAAGUUACCCCGGAGUUGACUUUCAAGUGACUGUUGUAACCCAAGUGUGAGCUCUUUCAGCAAAGGGACCAGAGAGGAGUGGUUUGCAGAGCGAGUAGAAGCGAUGCGCUGGAGACAGGAAGUAGAAGGUGCAUCUCCAAGAACUCCUGGUGAGAGGGGAGGCAAGACGUUCACAGCAGGUGUAAGUGACAGGAGUUUCUUAUUUAGUCGCCAAAGACAGCAGCGGCUUGGGGAUGUUUAUACGCUGAGGACACGGCGAACGUUGGGAGAAAGGGGAACAUACGUGCCAUGAAAACAUAUGAGAUCGGCCGCCCGGAGGAAAUUCAGUGUCUUCUGGGGAGAAAGGAGGAUGGAGAGUCAAGAGUAACAUGUGGAUAAACUGUAUUUUAUGAAUCGUUAAAUGUCUCCAGAAACUAUUAUAUUCACAUUUCAGUUGAAACAGCCCCAAUUCUUGGACAUCCUCAGUUAUCUCUCAAAGGCAUUUUAGCUGCUUAAAAGUAUAUUUUGGAAUAUUUCAGCCAUAAAAAAGGCUAUAAAAAGUGAUGUAAAGAACUUGUGAGCCUUCUCCCUUAAGAAAGAGAACAUUAUCGACACAAUUAAAGACCCCUAUGUGCCCUUUUUCCGAUCAUAACUCUGUCUCUCCUCACUCUGCCUGCAAAAAAUCGCCAUCCUGAGUUUGGUGUUUAUGUAUUUCUGAACAUUUCUUUAUACUUCGAAUACAUUUGUAUUCAUCGCUGAGUGAUAUUUAUUGUAUUACCCAUUUGUACAUUUUAAAUAAAUGACGUUGUAUCA